CCGAGUUUACAACUCCCGAACCCCUGUGAACAUACCUAUACGUUGCCUCGGCGGAUCAGCCCGCGCCCCGUAAAAAGGGACGGCCCGCCCGAGGACCCCUAAACUCUGUUUUUAGUGGAACUUCUGAGUAAAACAAACAAAUAAAUCA
rnacentral:misc_RNA from 1 species